rnacentral:rRNA from 1 species
UACGUAGGGUGCAAGCGUUAAUCGGAAUUACUGGGCGUAAAGCGUGCGCAGGCGGUUUGGUAAGACAGAUGUGAAAUCCCUGGGCUCAACCUAGGAAUUGCAUUUGUGACUGCCCGGCUAGAGUGUGUCAGAGGGGGGUAGAAUUCCACGUGUAGCAGUGAAAUGCGUAGAUAUGCGGAGGAACACCGAUGGCGAAGGCAAUCCCCUGGGCCUGCACUGACGCUCAUGCACGAAAGCGUGGGGAGCAAACAGG